rnacentral:piRNA from 1 species
UAGCUAAGCAGAAGCUGUCCUUGUCUGCAGC